rnacentral:lncRNA from 1 species
CCCAGAGGCCGAACACCUCAGUGAGUGACUUCCACCAGCUCCAAACCUGCACACAUAGGAGCUGACUUCCUGCCAAUACUUCUACUUUAAAUCUCAUCAGAGCCUUCAUGAGUUUGCCUCUGAAAACCCACUGCUUAUGUUAGUGGGAAAAGAUGGCUACGGGUGUGAUUUCUUUUUUUCUUUCUUUUUUAUUUAUUUGGUGGGGGGUGUGAGGGAGGGGAGAAGGGGGGAAAGAGGGUGACCAGUUCUUUCCAAGAUGCAAGUGUUUAUUUUAAAAUAUAUAACUUAUAUACAUCCAGCCUUUGGCACAAGGCAAAAUACUCAUGCUAAGUAAAAGAAGGGAAAGACAAAGCAGAAAGGAGGCAGAAAGCCUGGGAAAGCUUGUCCAAAGUCUCAGCAUGACACAGUCAGGAGUUUGCUGGAGACAUUCAGCAUUAACAAAUAACCUCAGGCUUCAAGAACUGCCUGAGGGCCUUCCAGAAUCUUCACCAUUAGUCUCGGUGGAGGAGGAGGAAGUAGAGGCCACAGAAAUUGUAAAGAAAGAAAGUAAUGCUGUAAGCUCAGGUCUUAGAGACUAAAAGAAAAAUGUCACAGAGAGAGUGGUUAGUAGCUGCGUCAAACAGGGCAAGGGUGGGAAGCUCUAAACCCACGUCCUAGGACAGGGAGCCAGGCCAACUCUUGGCUCCAUCCUCCCCUUUUUGGUUACUACUAUAUGGAUUGGAUGGUGUUAAAAGCGAGCUGCGUAUAGCCUUUGGUGUUGGAGAAGAUGGGGUCAGUCUGAAAAUAGGUUGGGGUCACAGGUCGGAACAAGCUGGACCAGGCCUCAGUGAAGCUCAAAGCUCCCCCACAAUUCCUGUGCCCAACCACCUGCCUGGAGGGGCUGGAGGCGAGACAGGUGCAAAUCAAAGAGCAGAGACAUGGCUGGCCAUGCCAGAUGUUAGGUCCCAAGAUGAUACGCCUUUCUGGUCCUUCCCAAGCAACAUCUUGCCCAGGCCGUACUGCAGGACUCAACAGAGUUCAUUCUCUGACACAGGUUGAGGACAGGCUCCCCUGUGAGGUGCAUCGUGAUGAACCAGGAAUUCCAGGUGUGGCAUGAAGGUGAGAAAAGUUGUGUCACACCCUGAUGGCCUAGCAACACGGCCCAGGUUGUUGGGGCAAAUUUGCAUCCAUUCCCGGGGCUAACCAUUAUUUCUGGCAAUAUGGUUGAAUCAAUAUCCAGCAACACCAUGGCUUUUGUCCUUGGCUGCUCAUGCACAACUCCAGAGGGCCCGGGAGGCAGGGCUACACAAUUUCCAACUCAACUUGCUGAUGAGGAAGGCCUCAGGGAGCAGGGCCCAGGGGACCAGACUCCCACAGCUUCAAAGGGAGUAGUCUCAGCUAGCUCCAAG